GCUGACCUAGGAGAAAAAACAAAAAGUCACAUCACGGAUUUGCCUCGUGCCGUGGAGAUCCAACAGCUCAGUUAACCGACUAGCUCUCCGAGUUUCCCGUGGUAGAUCUUUCUUCUUCUGCAGCCAUCAGGAGAGUAGUGGAGGAGAGAAAGAGAAAAAGGUUGUUUCCCCUUCUGCAGCCAGGUGCCUGCCUCUCCCAGACCUAAGGCUCCUUAGCUGUUAGGGGGAAGGUCCUGGAAAAGCAGGUAUGGUUGCUCUAGCUGGAUCUCCCAGCAGUCACAUUCCUGACUCCUCUAGGCCAGUCAUCUUCAUUCUUUCAGGGAAUACUCAGCUGGUGCCGCCAGCCACACCAGGCUCGAACUGGAUAUGCAAUGUCUAAGGCAGAUAGGACCCACACAAAGAACACAGUGUUUUUCACAGACUGGAAACAAGCCAUCACAUAGGGAUCAACCAAGCAAAGGAAUCGAGAAGCUCCUUACUGGCUGGGAUCCACUUUUGGCACUUGUCACAGAAGUAAGACAGCUGCUCCUCCAUCCAUGAUAUAUCUCCUUCAUCGCUGUUGAGGGAAUCCCCACUCUGGUCGUGAGAUAAGUCCACUGAUGCCUGAUCCUCUGAUUCCACAAUUAGGAGAGUCUCUCCCUCCACCUCACCUUCCUCCAGCCCUUCCGAGGUAGACGUUCUCGUGGCUUCAUCAUCAUGCCGACUUAGGAGCCCACUCAGGUGGAUGCUACUAUCCAUCGCCCCUGCACUCCUAAGCUGACAGGCACUGUUGCAGGGAUCCCCCAGACAGACCUUCAGAAGAGCAUUUGCCCCCAAGUACUCUCUCCACACACGACAGACUCUUAAAAGAAGCAAUUCAGAAGACAGGACCACUGUCCUUCAGUUAAUGAAGUGUAACUGGAUAGUGAUUUUGGGGGCAGCUCUCACUAGCUAUUCUCUACCACACACCGCACCCACAGUUACACACACCAACUCAGCGCUGCCCCAUCGGCUUCUCAAAGUCAGGUAUUUUGAGAUCCUUUCUCCAACAUCUUCUCUCUUUCUGCUUCAAGUUGCUUAGUCAAAAUAAUCUGUUCUCCCAAAAGACGAAUGUUUUCUUUUUUCUGAUUCUGCCUCUCAAUGUCUCUGAUCACUCCGUCACGAAGCCUCUAAAAACACAAGAAGCAGAUUUUAGUUACCCCCUGAACAGGUGGCUCCCAUCCUGUGCCUUCAAAUCUAAAUAACAGUGCCACCAAAAUACACUCGAAAUGUUCCAAUUCUAAAUACCCAAUUACUAUUUUAACCUUCUGUACAAUGUAAAUAAAGAAACCACCAAGUAAA